GACGAACGCUGGCGGCGUGCCUAAUACAUGCAAGUAGAACGCUGAAGGAGGAGCUUGCUUCUCUGGAUGAGUUGCGAACGGGUGAGUAACGCGUAGGUAACCUGCCUGGUAGCGGGGGAUAACUAUUGGAAACGAUAGCUAAUACCGCAUAAUAGUAGAUGUUGCAUGACAUUUGCUUAAAAGGUGCAAUUGCAUCACUACCAGAUGGACCUGCGUUGUAUUAGCUAGUUGGUGAGGUAACGGCUCACCAAGGCGACGAUACAUAGCCGACCUGAGAGGGUGAUCGGCCACACUGGGACUGAGACACGGCCCAGACUCCUACGGGAGGAAGCAGUAGGGAAUCUUCGGCAAUGGACGGAAGUCUGAACGAGCAACGCCGCGUGAGUGAAGAAGGUUGUCGGAUCGUAAAGCUCUGUUGUAAGAGAAGAACGAGUGUGAGAGUGGAAAGUUCACACUGUGACGGUAUCUUACCAGAAAGGGACGGCUAACUACGUG
rnacentral:rRNA from 1 species